GAGACUUAUUUCCUAAAAAUCCUUUUUUGGAAAACUUAUUAAUUAAUUAUUUUUCUGGAGACCUCCCCCCCGCUCUUGGUUAUACUGAGACGUUUUUUUUGGAGUUCCCUUCUUUUACUAGGAUACACCUGGAACUCAUCCUCAUCCUCCUGGACCACUGCCCAACACCAACCCAGCUCCAACUUGGGAGGCCCAGCCAACUACUGGACCAAGGAGACCUACACUACCAGGGAUACCCACCAGGCAACAACCAAAGGCACCUGAACCCCAUUCUGCUGGACCACUGCCUUAAACGUCACCCCAGCUCCAACUAGGAAGGCCGAGGAACAAGCCAUCAGCCAUUUACUGGACAAAGGUGACCUCCAACUACACUACCAGGGUUGGAGGGCUCCCUCUCCACCAUCCCGGAAUUAUCCGAUGAAGAGGAAUUCCCACCACUACCAGUCAUCAGUGUUGCUGGUCCCCGGACUGGCACAAUGGAACAGCGAGGAGCCCCGACAACCAUAACGGGAGGGUCACCUAACAUGAUGAGCGGGCAAUUAAAGGCUAAUAUUGCCACUCAAGCCGUAUCUGAGACCUCCCUACCACUUCUCCGCGGAAGUCCACCUCCCACUUGUGCCGUUCGGGGGUCCAGCACACCUCCACCCCCCGAGGAUAGCCCCACAGGACCCUCCUCCACCUCCUCCCCAUUCAGCCUACCACCACACACUCCCA